AAAUGGUGGUGUGAGAUGGAACCCUGCCUGGAAGGAGAAGAGUGCAAAACAUUACCUGAUAAUUCAGGAUGGAUGUGCUCUUCAGGCAACAAAAUUAAGACCACAAGGAAUACACAGCCUUAUUCGUCUUUUUAGCCUUGGACUCAAAGAUCAAAGAAGGGCUUAAAUCAUGUACAAUAGAGAUGGAGCAUCACAGGUUUCU